AGAGUUUGAUCCUGGCUCAGGAUGAACGCUGGCGGCGUGCUUAACACAUGCAAGUCGAGCGAAGCACUUAAGUUUGAUUCUUCGGAUGAAGACUUUUGUGACUGAGCGGCGGACGGGUGAGUAACGCGUGGGUAACCUGCCUCAUACAGGGGGAUAACAGUUAGAAAUGACUGCUAAUACCGCAUAAGACCACAGGGUCGCAUGACCCGGUGGUAAAAACUCCGGUGGUAUGAGAUGGACCCGCGUCUGAUUAGCUAGUUGGUGGGGUAACGGCUCACCAAGGCGACGAUCAGUAGCCGACCUGAGAGGGUGACCGGCCACAUUGGGACUGAGACACGGCCCAAACUCCUACGGGAGGCAGCAGUGGGGAAUAUUGCACAAUGGGGGAAACCCUGAUGCAGCGACGCCGCGUGAAGGAUGAAGUAUUUCGGUAUGUAAACUUCUAUCAGCAGGGAAGAAAAUGACGGUACCUGACUAAGAAGCCCCGGCUAACUACGUGCCAGCAGCCGCGGUAAUACGUAGGGGGCAAGCGUUAUCCGGAUUUACUGGGUGUAAAGGGAGCGUAGACGGCAUGGCAAGUCUGAAGUGAAAGCCCGGGGCUCAACCCCGGGACUGCUUUGGAAACUGUCAGGCUAGAGUGCUGGAGAGGUAAGUGGAAUUCCUAGUGUAGCGGUGAAAUGCGUAGAUAUUAGGAGGAACACCAGUGGCGAAGGCGGCUUACUGGACAGUGACUGACGUUGAGGCUCGAAAGCGUGGGGAGCAAACAGGAUUAGAUACCCUGGUAGUCCACGCCGUAAACGAUGACUACUAGGUGUCGGGUAGCAAAGCUAUUCGGUGCCGCAGCAAACGCAAUAAGUAGUCCACCUGGGGAGUACGUUCGCAAGAAUGAAACUCAAAGGAAUUGACGGGGGCCCGCACAAGCGGUGGAGUAUGUGGUUUAAUUCGAAGCAACGCGAAGAACCUUACCAGGGCUUGACAUCCCGGUGACCGAUCCAGAGAUGGAUUUUUCCCUUCGGGGACACCGGUGACAGGUGGUGCAUGGUUGUCGUCAGCUCGUGUCGUGAGAUGUUGGGUUAAGUCCCGCAACGAGCGCAACCCUUAUUGUUAGUUGCUACGCAAGAGCACUCUAGCGAGACUGCCGUUGACAAAACGGAGGAAGGUGGGGACGACGUCAAAUCAUCAUGCCCCUUAUGUCCUGGGCUACACACGUACUACAAUGGUGGUAAACAGAGGGAGGCAAGACCGCGAGGUGGAGCAAAUCCCUAAAAGCCAUCCCAGUUCGGAUUGCAGGCUGAAACCCGCCUGUAUGAAGUUGGAAUCGCUAGUAAUCGCGGAUCAGCAUGCCGCGGUGAAUACGUUCCCGGGCCUUGCACUCACCGCCCGUCA
rnacentral:rRNA from 1 species